GAUUUUGGUAACUGAUGUUUGGAUCAGCCUGCCUUGGCUGUGUGUCCAGUGAGGGAUUAUGGAUUUAGCAAGGAAGGUCAUGUUUUGAUGACUGAAUGGCAUGUCGGCACCUUGGUUCCUUUGGGAGGCAUUCCCCAGAUAACCCAUGGUUGGAUAAAAAUUACUCUCGGCUCUGAACAAGGUAGCUCAGAGGCUAAAGGAGUGCAGAAUACCCAAGAUGUUAUAUUUUGAAGACCACAAGUAUGCAUUGAUUUUGAUACUUCUGCAUCAGCUGGCAAAAUAGGUUGUAUAGGAAGAUAAGGAGUUUUCAUGGCAUAUUAUAUCUGAAUACCACUUUCCUUGGUCUUAUGUUUAAAGAGACAUCUUCAAACUGCUAGCUGGAUAACUCUAAACAUGAACUAAAAUAGGUGGAUUUCUGUAAUCAAGACAAAAUAAGAAAAAAGAAUCAUCUUUUAAAAAAUUUGGUUUUAAGCAAUGGCCUUAUUUGCUAUUAAAUAUACCCAAAUCUAGUUUGGGAAGUGAUUUUUGACAAAUCAGAGAUAUAAAAAUCAACCGGUGCUCAUUGGAAGAUACUGAUAAAAGGUUGAAUUGUGUAGCAUUGGAACUACCUAUGUAGGCUCACAACACAAAUAUGAUGUAGAUGAGAUGUAGAAAUUUGAUGUAGACAAUUUUCCUUUUUGUGGUUUUUAUAGAAGGUAUGAAAUCAUGAAAAAUUCUAUUGUUCUUGAUUGUACCAUAAAUAUAACCUUAUCCAAGUGAUGGCUUACAGUUUUUGAAUAUUUAUUGUUACAUUUUUUUUAAAAAAAACAUUGUUUUUGAGAAACAGUCCUAUUCAUGAGUGCAAAACCAGUCACUUCAGUUUGCUAUGGACUGAUGACAGUCACAUCAAAAUGUCAAGAAAUCACUAUUUACCUAAUCAAAUGAAGAAAAUCUGUUGAAUACUAUUUAAGAUAAGUGGUAUUUCUAAUUGUUUUUAGAUGCAUGGAUAAAAACUUAAUGCCCUGAUACUUUGGUAAACCCUAAAUGAUUUGACAAUUCAUGUCUACACUAUGUAUUGGCAGAAAGCAAUGGAGAAUCAAGUAAUAUCUCUCUAUUGGAUAAUCAUGCAAGCAGAGAAGCAUACAUGCACACAUAGAGAGAGCAGAGAUAUUUAUUCUCUCUUCUAGAUGCCUAUUAUUAUAGACUAAAUCAUGAAGUCAUAAAGUUAAAUCAUUUCUGUAAUUGAUUGAAGACAGUAACUGAAAACAUACUCAACAUCUUAAACAUAACCUCUUAUGUUUAUGAUGGUAACCCAAAGGCAAAGUAUUUUAUUUUUAAAAAUCUUGUUAUAUGGACUCAGCCCUAACCACAUAGCAAACACGCAAACACAGAUACACAUCCACAUCCACACAUGCUUCACAAAUCUGGACACCCAUUAGGUGGCCCUAGAGAGGUCCAGAAAUCUCUAAUUCUUUGCUGCCAUCUAGCAAGUGUCUGUUUUAAGUUCAUAUAUGGUGAGCUUCUUUAAAGAUAAAUUAUUGAUACCAAAAGUAUGUCUUAAUUAUUCCUUUCACCUAAAGUAAAUCUUACCAUGUGAAACAGUUUUAUGAUUUACUUAAAAUAAACAAAAAGAAAA